UACGGAGGGUGCAAGCGUUGUCCGGAAUCACUGGGCGUAAAGAGCGUGUAGGCGGCCGGGUAGGUCUGCUGUGAAAACUCAGGGCUUAACCCUGAGCCUGCAGUGGGUACGGGCAGACUAGAGUGUGGUAGGGGAGAUCGGAAUUCCUGGUGUAGCGGUGGAAUGCGCAGAUAUCAGGAGGAACACCGGUGGCGAAGGCGGAUCUCUGGGCCAUAACUGACGCUGAGGAGCGAAAGCAUGGGGAGCGAACAGG
rnacentral:rRNA from 1 species